CAUAUACUCCCUGCGUUCCGAAUUACUUGUCGCAAGUAUGGAUGUAUCUAGAUGUAUUUUAGUUCUAGAUACAUCCGUUUCUGCGACGAGUAAUUUGGAACGGAGGGAGUAGGAU
rfam:Triticum aestivum genome assembly, contig: Triticum_aestivum_CS42_TGACv1_scaffold_080576_1DS